AACCGCGGUGUAUCAACGGAUAAUGUUUCAAAUUAACACCGCGGCAAGCAAAAGAGGCUAUAGCUGCAUCUUCUCUAUUUUACACUCAUCUGCUUUAUUUUGUGCUUGCUACAGCCAUGGCUAAACUGACAGACAUAUGGAAGCCAAGGGAAACGUUACGUGACUGGGGGAAGACUGAGUACAAGAUUGUUCGUAACUGGACCCCUCGUGCCCCACCCCCCACUAGCCCCCCUGACACCACUGGACCGGAAGACUCUCCCGUCAAGCUUAACCUCUCCACCACUCUCCGUAGUUUCCGUGGUAACCAACGAAUCAAUCGGAACAAAGACGCUAAUUAUGAAUUGAACUAUGAGGAUCAUGCUAGCGAGACUGACAGUGAUGGCGAAACAAUAUCAAGUUCGUCUCACAAAACACGCUCCUCUGGCUCCGUACACACGAAGAGCAAAUCUCGAGCUCUAACUAAAUCAAGAGUUCGUGUCGACCAUACGGACAUAGUUCGUCAAGUGCCAAAUAACGAAGACCCUGUUCCUAACAGUAGAGAAACCUCAGAGAGCUUCUUAACUAGAGGGAUCGCUCCAUCCUCCAGUACAAGACACAAAAGCAAAGACACAAUCUUAACUGGUCUGGAAUUAACGAUAUCUAGAAGAGGCUCAAAGAAUCAAUUGAUAACUGAUGAGCCAUUAAUGGUGCAAAGUAGCAAUAAUAUGGUUAUCUCGAAGGCUAAGAGUACUACUAAAAGGAGGAAGAGAACUAGUAGAGUGAGCUAUCCAAGAAAGAAAGCGGCGGUCAAGAAAAAUAAAAGUGCAGUCGUUGAACUUGAACAGAAUGAUUCAGAAGUUAUAGAUCCAGCGAGUACUGGGAUUGAUCAUGAACUCUCUGAUUCGAGAACUAGUAAAGUAAAUGAUGUUGAAAGUGAAACGAUUGCUGCGGCGGCAGCAGUGCUAGGAGAACAGUUAAAAGGAGGUACCCAACCCAGUAGGAAAAAGACUUUAAAAAUUUCGAAAGUUAUUCAGUCAAAAACAGUGGAACAGGACGAAAGUGAUUUUUAUGAGAUUGUGGACAAUGAAUCCGAUUUAAAAUCCAAGACAGCUACUGAAUCCACUUCAAGAAAUACUUCCAAGAAAGUUCCAACGAAGAGAAAGACGUCUGCUUCAAAAAGACUUACCAUGCCCAAGAGACUGACCAGCAAAUCAACUGAAACAGCUCACCAGGCCACCAAUGGUGGUCGUAAUCCAACUGAUGAUUCUGACAGUGGUAAUGAAAGAGUUGUACCCACAGUAGAUCACCUGACUUCAUCGCUUGAGGGAUGCUGCCAGACCUUCGAUGGUGGAGCUAAAAAAAGAAGACUGAGAAUGUUGGAUAAUGGAGGUGUGUCUGACAGCAGUGGGGGAGAUGAGAAUGGAACACAACACAUGAACGAUCCGCUUGUUACUAAAGUCAAUACACCAACAAGGAGGAGGAGAAAGAUGUCUGCUUCGAAAAGACUUACCAUACCCAAGAGACUAAGGACCAGCAAAGCUACAAAAACAGCUCAUCAAGCGAAUGGUGGUUGUAACCUAACAGAUGGCUCUGACAGUGAUAAUGAGAGAGGGGAUGAUGGAGGUGGGUCUGACAGUAGUGGGGGAGGAGUCACAGGGGGCGCUCCACAGUCUCGUAAGAAGUAUGCCUCACUACACACCCACCUUUGGCAGCCAAGAAGAGUCAAGAGAGGCAAGAAAGAUUUCAGCGAGCUUGACGUCUGUCUCAAUGUCUAUGAGGAUGCCAUUCAGCAAGUAGUAGAGUCGUGCUCUAACCAGACCGUAUCCAUGGCGAUGGUUGCCCACUGGAAUUACACUAGAAAGGAGAUAUUGAACCUGAUCAAGAAUUCUUUCUAUACCUCAGAGCUACAGAAAUUGAAGAAAAAGGAGAAGUUGAAGCAGAAAGGUCUCGAGAGGAAAAUGGCAACUGUUCUCACCAAUCUGAGAAAGUAAGUACAUGGCUCAUGGCAAAUAUCAGGAGAGUCUAUCACCAGCCAAACAGGCCAAGAAAAUUGAACAGGAGGUCAGUGUGGAGGAGGAGGAGUUGAACUCUGUGGCCAGUGGACCAAGGACGGUGUGGCAGGCACAGCAAAAUGUGGAACAUUGACUCGAUCGUAAUUAUAUUAUUCUACUCAUUGCAAUGUACCACUGCACUAUGUUGAUCUCCAACUCUAUGAUGAGAAAUUAGGGCGAAUA